UUUCCUGUUUCCUCUCAGCCCGCGAGAGCUAAUGGGCAACUCCAGCCUUCGCACAAUUUGGCGGAUCCCGAGCACGGAAUGGGUCCUUUACAGUAAUAUUGGCCAGGAGAAAUGGUUAACCAUUGUUUUCUUUAUUUCCUCAGGCCAAUCCCGGAAUAGGACUUCUUUUUCCCCUACCGGAAGUUGAACUCCGAGUUUCCGCGCUGAGCUAAGCCCCUCCCUUUUAUUUUGAAAAAGGCGCUCGCUGAAUGGCUUAAACUGGGCUCGAAUUCGAGAUUCUCCUGCCUCACCUCGUACAGUGCUGGGAUUACAGGCGUGUUUGGCUUUAGGAAUACGAUUUUUUUAAAUAAUGAAAGUAACGUAAGAUAUUAAUUUUCUAGGUGUUUGUCAGUUCAGUCAAGUUGACAAAACCGUUACAGCAGGGUUCUUUGCUAAAACUAGGUUUUACAAGAAAAUGCACUGAUAUCAGUGAAAUCUAAUGUUACAGUUCGACUUCUUUGCUGUAAUAAUCUCAAAAUUCCUUUUUGGGGGGCCAGGGAUUUAGCUCAGCGGCUUAAGCGCCUGCCUUGCAAGCAAGCAGUCGUGAGUUCGAUCCCCGGUACCGAUAAAAAGGAAAAAAAGACAAAAACAAAUUCCUUUUCUGUUUCUCAGGUUUCUGCAAAUAGAUAUUUCAGAGAUUUUUUUUUAAAGUGUGUAUUUAUUUCCUGAUCAUUGUGUAUACAUCUCCCCUGAUAACGGUGAUAUUUGGCCAUAAUUAUGAGACUUCGCUAUGCUCCUAAGCUUGGUUAUGCUUUGCAGUGAGAUUUACAGAGAAUGGACAUUUCCUUUAGGGCGUAUACUCCAGUUAUUUAUCACAGUUUUGCAGCAGAGGAAAGCUAUUUUCUUGAAACAAUAGAGAGAAGCCACUUCUGUUAAAAGGAAAAAAAAAUUCUGUUUUCUGGUGCUGGGGAUUUAGCUCAGCGGCACCAGCUCCUGCCUGGCAAGCCCAAGGCUGUGAGUUUGAUCCACAUACCCAAAAAACAAAAACCCCUUAUUUUUUGUUUCCAGAUUGUCAGUUUCAACUGCAUCUACAUGCACUGGUCACUAUGUAGCCGAGGCUAGCCUUGAACUCGAAGUGAUCCUCCUGUUUCAGCCUUCUGAGUGCUGGGAUUACAGGAUUGAACUCAUGACCUCAUGCUUGUCAGGAAAAUCAGAGCCCCCUAGACUACCCUGUGACAAGAUCACCCUCCUGAGGACAGUUGUCUCAUGGGAAUGAACUACUCCUCAAGGCUAAGAAUUGCUCCAGAGCCGUGCAACAAGGACCAGGACUGAGUGUCUCAGCUGGAAAAAUCUCGGCAUAUUCAGCUCAGCUCUGCGCUAAGAGCCAGGACUGUGGGAAGAACACACGGAGAAGAGCUGGAUGUCUAAGCCUGAGCUCUAGACCAGAUUUAGUAGCCAUGCAGUGCAGCAGAACGAAACCCUAAAACAAACAAUAAACAGCAGGCAAAAUA